UACAGAGGUCUCAAGCGUUGUUCGGAUUCAUUGGGCGUAAAGGGUGCGUAGGCGGCGCGGUAAGUCGGGUGUGAAAUCUCAGAGCUCAACUCUGAAACUGCACUCGAUACUGCUUUGCUCGAGGACUGGAGAGGAGAUUGGAAUUCACGGUGUAGCAGUGAAAUGCGUAGAUAUCGUGAGGAAGACCAGUGGCGAAGGCGGAUCUCUGGACAGUUCCUGACGCUGAGGCGCGAAGGCCAGGGGGAGCAAAACGGGG
rnacentral:rRNA from 1 species